rnacentral:rRNA from 1 species
CUGGCGGCGUGCCUAAUACAUGCAAGUCGAACGGUCUUUCUAUGGAAGCUUGCUUCCACUGAGAAGAUAGUGGCGAACGGGUGAGUAACACGUGGGUAAACCUGCCCAUAAGAGGGGGGAUAACGAUCCGGAAACGGGUGCUAAUACCGCAUAGUUUCUUGAUCGCAUGAUUGAGAAAGGAAAGACGGCCUUUGUGCUGUCGCUUAUGGAUGGACCCGCGGCGUAUUAGUUAGUUGGUGAGGUAACGGCUCACCAAGACGAUGAUACGUAGCCGACCUGAGAGGGUGAUCGGCCACAUUGGGACUGAGACACGGCCCAAACUCCUACGGGAGGCAGCAGUAGGGAAUCUUCCGCAAUGGACGAAAGUCUGACGGAGCAACGCCGCGUGAGUGAAAGAAGGUUUUCGGAUCGUAAAACUCUGUUGUCAGAGAAGAACAAGUUGGAGAGUAACUGCUCCAGCCUUGACGGUAUCUGACCAGAAAGCCACGGCUAACUACGUGCCAGCCGCCGC